rnacentral:lncRNA from 1 species
UUUGUUUUCUUUCAGGAAUGGACUGUUUUAUAUAAUUCACUUUUAUAAUGUUUUCCGAUAUCCUAUUCUGAAAUAUUGAUGUACGAUUAUUCAAAAUUAAAAUAAGUUUUAUGGUAAAUAGUUCACAUAUUCAAUGGCAUUCCAUUACUAAUCAGUCUGCAGGAAUUGUCUGAUAUAGCUUAAUCUAUAAGCUUCUAUCUUACACGCGCGCGCACACAGACAAAGGGCGGAGGAUAAGCAUUUCUAGUAUAAGGAUGAAGGACAAGGGCAAAAUUUGGUAAGAAACCUACUACCCAAAACAAAUAUGGGCAUUUAAUGUCAAAAAUCACAUAAUUGUUGAUAAAAUAAAUAACAGUCAUAGAGUCUGUUUUAAAUUUAAGAUUUGAUAAAUUGUUUCAAAGAGAUGACUUGAAUUCAAUAUGACCUGCAUUGAUGCACUGUAAUAAAUUAAGAAAACUGGAUAAAAGGAUAUAAACAAUUUAUAAUUGGAAAUGAAGCACAUGAGAUGAGGAUAUGUCAGGGAAUCACACGUGAUCUCUCUUGGGUCUCUCUUUUUAAAAUGUAUACUAGAAAAGAACAUUUCAAAGAUUUUAGGUUUGCAUGAGUUUUAAACAACUAAAUUUCUCCAGUAGAAGCAACUUAAAAGUUUUCUUCACUCCUUGAAGUGCUGAUAGAAAUCAUGACUUCUCACAAGGGAAACGAAAUUUUCUGCCUCAGCUCAGCUCAAUUUGGGAAUUGAAAAUAACUCUGUCCAUAAUUGCUUAUUACCAUUGGCCUUGCCUUUCUAGAUUAUUGGCUCAUGGAAAGUGGGAGCGGCCAUCCACAGCAGCACAAAUGAAGCAAAUGUGGCAAGUGAUAAGCUUUGUUCUCGUUUUCUAUUUUGUAACUUCUAAUUCGAGCACGGAAAGGAACAUUGUGAGAUAAGUUUUACAGAAGGAAAUCCUUGGUUUACUUUAAGAUUAUUCAGUGGGUAAAAAUAAGUGCUUUGCUUUGCAGAAGCAGAAAUAGAGAAAUGGCUUCAGGGUUUAUAAUGUUUUAGAGUUUAUGCUGAUUGUAUGUACUGUCGACUGUUGAUAAAAUUGAUGUGGAUUUCGUGGAUAGAAUUUAUAUUAACUUUAACAUGAGUGCUAGGAAAAUAUAAAGGUUCGAAGAGUUCUGUGGUUUUGCUGAAGUUCAUUAUCAUUAGCUAUUAAUGACAGAAGGACCAGUAGCUCUUCCUCUUGCUAAUAAUUCUGAAUCAUUUUAAUCACUAUAGACAUUCAAAGGGGAGAUAAUAUAUUUUUAAAGUGAGACACUAGGGGUCAUUACAUAAGGGGGAUGGAUGGUUUACAUAGUGGAAGAUGCUCUCAACACAAGAAAUGUUCCUCUCGUCCCAGGCCUCUCUGUGGAGGAAUCUGGCACACGAGUAACUUUCCUAAUCUUCCAACUCACCCCACAGGAUCCAUGACUUCUCCAUUUCUCCCCAUAGAGGAUAAAGAAUUAUCAUAUGAUUGGAGGAGGGGAUCAUUUUUAUUGAGGAGGGAAAAAACCUACAAAAUCUGCAAGUCUGUAAUGUAACCUCCAUUUGUCCUCUGGAUGCUACAAGGAAGCCCACUUCCUACAUGUGUCUGGUGAGAACCACACCUUUUUGUUUGUGGCUGCAACCAUCUUGACAUGGGGUUGCGGUGAGGGGCUGAGGAAAGGCUGUUAGCACUGAUGGUGACAGAUGUAAAUCUGCAUUCUCUAGCUGGCUUCAGUGAAAAUAUCCAAUGUUUUGAGUCUGAGUUUUUUCUUCAGUAUCUUAAUUAUCAGUUGGCCUCGAUUUUUCCAAAGACAGAAAUGCUAUUUAUGUGGCCCUCACAUCCUCAUGUGUAAAGAUAGUCCUCAAAAUUCUUAUUGCUGUUUUUCAGAGUUCCCACUGUGGCUCAGUGGGUUAAAAACCCAAUGUAGUGUCCAUGAGGAUGUGGGUUCAAUCCUUGGCCUCGCUCAGUUAAGAAUCUGACAUUGUGGUGUAGGCUGGCAGCUGCAGCUCCAAUUUGACCCCUAGCCCGGAAACUUCCAUAUGCCACAUGUGUGGCCAUAAAAAGAAAAAAAAAAAAUUCAUAUUGCACCUUUUGUGUCUAAAAGGGGGAAAAAAAGAUAUGACUGUAGGAGUGUUCAUAUAUUCAGCAAUUUUACUUAUCAGAAAAUUCCUCAUGGGCUUUUAGCAAUGUUAAACUAUUUUUUACACAAAAAUUUAAUCAAAUGUGCCAUGAAACUACCAUCUUGUAUUUUAAGAAUAAAAACAGUUUAAUUAAUUCCAUGGUAUGGAACACUGUGUAAAAAGUGGACACACCAAACAUCGAACAAGACAGUCUGUUUAGUGAAGGAAGAGUGAACCUCCACUAUUUUAUCUUAAAGUGAAGCGAUUAUGAUUGACAAAUACAUGACUUCACCCAUGUAUUCUCAGUUAUUCCAUUUGUGAGAUGUCCUUGACUGGUACAAGUGAAGAAAGGGUGAGAGAUGAAAAAAUUGGGGGUUAUUACAGGGAUGUCUUCCCAGAAAUAAAAUUCAACUUUUAUAGCAAGACAAGAGGAAUUUAAACAUAAAAGUUUCUCUGCUCUUUGACCUCCACUCUCUCCCACUGUGCCUUGUGCAUCUGCAUUGUGCAUGCAUGGACCAAAACUCCCCCAUUGGCAGGAACACCUGCUCAACCAUAAAAAGCAAGGUUCUCCCACAUCAACAAUACCACUCCUUAAAGUCAACACUCCUUGAUUUUGUAAGGGGUCACGAUGACCCACCACUUGUACUUAACAGAGCUGGAUUGUGCAGACUGUCGUUAAGACAUAAUUGAAUGCAUAGUACUCUGUCUCCAAAAUCUUACAUAACUGGGCCUUGAGUCUCACAAGCAGAACACUUCUCAGAGUUUUCUGAGAUGUUCUUCCAGGUUAAAAUCCUCAAUUUGGCCUGAAAAAAUUUCCCAAUUCUCUCUUAGAUCAACUGAUUCAUUUUUGUCAACUCUUUUCUCUACCCUUAGUUUUUGAACUAUGAUUACGCAUUACUUUUUUUUCUUUUCUUUUCUUUUCUUUUUACUUUUCAGAGCCAUACCUGCAGUAUAUGGAAGUUCCAGGGCUAGGGGCUGAAUCUGAGCUGCCGCUGGCAGCCUACACCAUAGCCACAGCAACACAGGAUCUGAGCCACAUCUGCUACCUACACCACAAGUCACAGCAACGCUAGAUCAUUUACCCACUGAGUGAGGCCAGGGGUCAAACCCAUUUCGCCAGGGUUACUAGUCGGGUUCUUAACUCACCAAGCCACAACAGGAACUUCUGAUUAUGUAUUACUUUUAAAGCAUAUUUAUUUGGGACGUGUUUCCAGUUAUAGACCGUAUUUUAAAUGUGAAGAAAUACACACAAAAUAGACACAUGCAAGGAAAGUAGACUGAAGAGAAAAAUACCAAGAACACGGUAAAAAGGAAAAGGAAAGAUAAAUGAUAGGCCUAACACUUGUCCUGCUUCUGGAAUUUAAAUCUGGACGAUUGUUACAUUUUGUUUCAUUUAACAAAAUGAAACCUCUAACACAGAAUUUGGUAUCUUGAAUUCUGCAAGUAAUAAAACCAGGAAAAUGUAAAACGGACUUAGGGAAGGCCUGGACUAUGUGUCACGAGGAUGUGAACAAGGGAACUAAAAAUCGGUGAGCUCUCUGAUUCUGAAUUUGGUCUAAGUGUUCAGUUCUGGGCUAUGGGGCAGAGCUGACUUAGAUGGGUUAGUUAGUACAAUGGGAAGAGAAUAACUUGGAGCUGGGAGAGUAGGGUACUGGCCUGAUGGCCUUCAGUGCAGGUCUGACUAGGAGACUCGACGUCAGCCUGAGGUUGGUGGAGCACAAGCAAAGGGGAGGGCAUGCUUUGCAGAGUCAGGCACUUCUGCUGUCCUCAGUUUCAGUUGACGGAGGGUCAUUGUGAAAGGCUGACAGAUAAUACUCCUGAACUGCAAAUGAAAUGUUAUCCACCUGAUGUCUGUGAAAUGGCAGCCUUAGCAGGAUGCAAAGCUCCUAUUACAGGCCUAGGCAAAAACCUCCCCUUUAGAGUCACCUGCUAGUCAGAGGCUAGCCCAACCUGCUGCUGAAAUGAUUGUUUUCAUCACUUACGCCUCUUGUUUAAAUUACUCUGUAAAGCUCAGGCAAUUAAGCAAAAAGGCUUUGGGAUUUUUGCAGAGCAGAGAAACCAUCAGAUAAAAGAGAAGCUUUUAAAGACGUGCCUAAGAUAU